UACGUAGGGUGCAAGCGUUGUCCGGAAUUAUUGGGCGUAAAGAGCUCGUAGGCGGUUUGUCACGUCUGCUGUGAAAACUCGGGGCUUAACUCCGGGCCUGCAGUGGGUACGGGCAGACUGGAGUGCGGUAGGGGAGACUGGAAUUCCUGGUGUAGCGGUGAAAUGCGCAGAUAUCAGGAGGAACACCGGUGGCGAAGGCGGGUCUCUGGGCCGAUAUCGACGCUGAGGAGCGAAAGCGUGGGGAGCGAACAGG
rnacentral:rRNA from 1 species